UAAUGACUCUCGGCAACGGAUAUCUCGGCUCUUGCAUCGAUGAAGAACCUAGCGAAAUGCGAUACUUGGUGUGAAUUGCAGAAUCCCGUGAACCAUCGAGUCUUUGAACGCAAGUUGCGCCUGAAGCUAUUUGGCUGAGGGCACGUCUUCC
rnacentral:rRNA from 1 species